UACGAAGGGGGCUAGCGUUGCUCGGAAUGACUGGGCGUAAAGGGCGCGUAGGCGGCGGUCACAGUCAGAUGUGAAAUUCCUGGGCUUAACCUGGGGGCUGCAUUUGAUACGUGGUUGCUUGAGUGGGGAAGAGGGUCGUGGAAUUCCCAGUGUAGAGGUGAAAUUCGUAGAUAUUGGGAAGAACACCGGUGGCGAAGGCGGCGACCUGGUCCUUGACUGACGCUGAGGCGCGAAAGCUAGGGGAGCAAACGGG
rnacentral:rRNA from 1 species